ACACACACAGACACACACACAAACAAUGCAACCCUUACACACAAUGCAUCCCUUACACACACACACAAACACACAAUGCAUUCCUUACACACACUCAAUGCACCCCUUACACACACUCAAUGCACCCCUUACACACGCACACACUGCAUCCUGUACAUACACAGAAACACACCUUGCAGCCCUUACACAUACAAACACAGAUUCACACAAUGCAUUCCUUACACACAUAUCAGGACAUCCCCUACACACUCCACCCCCUGUGAACAAACUCAUUGGUGGAACAUGAAGGUGGACCCUGGGACCCAGACCUUGAGCUGUGUAAAGGGCCCCCAAAAAAUGGAGCUGCUUACCGUUCUCC